CAGUCGCCGCGGUAAAACGGAGGGGGCCAGCGUUGUUCGGAAUUACUGGGCGUAAAGCGCACGUAGGCGGCUUGGUAAGUUAGAGGUGAAAGCCUGGAGCUCAACUCCAGAAUUGCCUUUAAGACUGCCGAGCUAGCAGGUGAGAGAGGUAAGUGGAAUUCCGAGUGUAGAGGUGAAAUUCGUAGAUAUUUGGAAGAACACCAGUGGCGAAGGCGGCUUACUGGCUCAUACUGGACGCUGAGGUGCGAAAGCGUGGGGAGCAAACAGGAUUAGAUACCCCAGUAGUCCCUGUCUCUUAUAC
rnacentral:rRNA from 1 species